rnacentral:rRNA from 1 species
UGGGGAAUAUUGGACAAUGGGCGAAAGCCUGAUCCAGCCAUGCCGCGUGUGUGAAGAAGGUCUUCGGAUUGUAAAGCACUUUAAGUUGGGAGGAAGGGCAUUAACCUAAUACGUUAGUGUUUUGACGUUACCGACAGAAUAAGCACCGGCUAACUCUGUGCCAGCAGCCGCGGUAAUACUGAGGGUGCAAGCGUUAAUCGGAAUUACUGGGCGUAAAGGGCGCGUAGGUGGUUUGUUAAGUUGGAUGUGAAAUCCCCGGGCUCAACCUGGGAACUGCAUUCAAAACUGACUGACUAGAGUAUGGUAGAGGGUGGUGGAAUUUCCUGUGUAGCGGUGAAAUGCGUAGAUAUAGGAAGGAACACCAGUGGCGAAGGCGACCACCUGGACUAAUACUGACACUGAGGUGCGAAAGCGUGGGGAGCAAACA